rnacentral:lncRNA from 1 species
UUUGCUUCUUUUGUUCCUUUUCCUCCUCCUUAAAACAUUUAUAGUCUACUUUGUUUUGUGACCUCUUUUAAAAUAGAUGGAUUUGUAAUUUAUUAUUUUAUUGAUUCAUGUAUCCUCCUUAAUAGAGGUAGGCUUGUCUAAUCCUCAGAAACAUUUCACAUUGCUGAAAUAGUUUCUUAGGAUAGAUCCAAGCACGACUCAAGCCAGUUGGUAUAUUUCCG